rnacentral:rRNA from 1 species
UACGGGAGGCAGCAGUGGGGAAUAUUGCACAAUGGGCGCAAGCCUGAUGCAGCCAUGCCGCGUGUAUGAAGAAGGCCUUCGGGUUGUAAAGUACUUUCAGUCGUGAGGAAGGUGUUAAGGUUAAUAACCUUAGCAAUUGACGUUAGCGACAGAAGAAGCACCGGCUAACUCCGUGCCAGCAGCCGCGGUAAUACGGAGGGUGCGAGCGUUAAUCGGAAUUACUGGGCGUAAAGGGCACGCAGGCGGUUAAUUAAGUUGGAUGUGAAAUCCCCGGGCUUAACCUGGGAAUGGCAUUCAAGACUGGUUAGCUAGAGUCUUGUAGAGGGGGUAGAAUUCCAUGUGUAGCGGUGAAAUGCGUAGAGAUGUGGAGGAAUACCGGUGGCAAAGGCGGCCCCUGGACAAAGACUGACGCUCAUGUGCGAAAGCGUGGGGAGCAAACG